rnacentral:lncRNA from 1 species
AAGAUACUAUAUGAUAUCCUAAGAUAUUUUUUGAUAUCGUAAGAUAGUGUAUAAUAUCCGAAUGUAGCUGGCUCCGAGGAAGAACACUGGAUAGAUUUAUCCUCAUCCUUAUUUUUAUCUUCCUUAUCUUUAUCUUGCUUAUCCUUACCUUUAUCUUCUUAUAUUCCUUAUCUUUAUCUUGUUCUCUUCCUUAUCUUUAUCUUCUUAUCUUCCUUAUCUUCCUUAUCUUUAUCUUAUUAUCUUCCAUACCCUUAUCUUCUUAUCUUCCUUAUUCCUUAGCUUUAUCUUCUUAUCUUCCUUAUCAUUAUGUUUAUCUUCCUUAUCCUUAUCUUUAUCUUUUUCUCUUCUUUUAUCCUUAUCUUUUCUUCUUAUCCUCCUUAUCUUUAUAUUCUUAUAUUCCUUAUCUUUAUCUUCUUAUCGUUAUCUUCUUAUCUUCCUUAUCUUUAUCUUCUUAUCUUUCUUAUCCUUAUCUUCUUAUCUUCCUUAUUCCUAAGCUUUCUUUUCUUAUCUUCGUUAUCUUUAUCUUCCUUAUCCUUAUCUUCAUCUUUUUAUCUUCCUUUUUCUUUAUCUUUAUCAUCUUAUCUUUCUUAUCUUUCUUAUCUUCCUUAUAUUUAUCUUCUUAUAUUCCUUAUCUUUAUCUUCUUAUCUUCCUUAUCUUUAUCUUCUUAUCUUCCUUAUCCUCAUGUCUUUAUCUUCUUAUUAUGGGUAGGAGCCGAGUUCGAACGGCUCGGAGCCGGCUCGAACGGCUCGGCUUUAUCUUCGUAUCUUUAUCUUCCUUACCUUGCUUAUCCUUAUCUUUAUUUUGUUUAUUUUUAUCUUUAUCUUCUUAUCUUCCUUAUCUUUAUCUUCUUAUCUUCUGAACAUUCCUUAUAUUUAUCUCCCGCAACUUCUGCCUUAUCCUUGCCAGUGUGGUUUGGAGGAGAGCAGAAAAAGCUCGGAGCUUAGCUGCGUAGGCAAUUCGGAGCCACUCUAAAUGGCCCGGAGUCGAGCUCUAUUGGCACGGAUAAGGAAGAAGAUGCGGGAGAUAAACAUAAGAAAAAUUAAUAAGAUAAGAAGAUAAAAAUAACGAAGAUAAGAAGAUAAAUAUAAGGAUAAACAAGAUAAGGAAGAUAAGAAGAUAAAGAUAAGAAGAUAAAGAUAAGAAAGAUAAGAAAGAUAAGAAGAUAAAGAUAAGGAAGAGAAGAAAGAGAAGAAGAUAAAGAUAAAGAUAAGGAUAACGGAG